rnacentral:lncRNA from 1 species
AGUUGGUGGAACAAAUUUUCGGAGGAUGGCUGCCACAUCGACAUUGUUUUCUGCCCACAUCGGAAGUCGAAUAACAGGUUUUGGCGUUGCCUCCACCAAGGCAAGUGUUGGAGGACAAAUAUCUGGUGCAAAAACCUUGACUAUGUCCGUCAACUGCUCAACCAAAACAAAUCAAAUGUAAUAGCAGAACCAUAUUACAAACAUAACUAAAUGGGGUGGAAAAACCCACAAAGAAACAUAAAACAAACAACACAACACCCUUAAACAAUUACACAAAACACAAAAACACACUACCAUUAACACAACAUCAACAAGACGAACACAAAUCAAAAACCCAAAACAAAUAAACACUAAACCCUCACCACAACUUCCAUAACGGAAGACCACAAAUCAAAAACCCAAAACCUAACAACGCAAACCAAAAACCCAAAACCUAACAACGCAAGAAAAACCCAAAAACCCAAAACCAUUACCCAAAACUCGAACAAAACAAAAACAAAACUACCCUAACAAAAAACCCAAAACCCAACAACGCAUUUACCUUUCUACAACGAAGCUGCCCUUCCGGACUUUCCAUUUCCACCAACCGCCGACAACGGACAACGGAAAAUCAAAUGGGUAACCACAACGCAAACAACAACUAAACGAGAGAGGACGAAACAAGAUUGGUUGUGAAAUGAGAAAGAUUGUGAAAUGAAAGAGAAAACAGAGUUAAGGGUAUAUUUGGAAUGCCAAAUUUUCCAAACCUGCUCAUUUUCAUUCUCAGAUUUAAAAAAAAAAAAAAACAACCAAUGUCAGCUUGACACGUGUCUAUGUCAAAAAUGUGUUAAAAAAGUUGUGUUAAAGUAACGGGAUCCUAAAAAUAAUUACUGAUACAUGUUUAAUCGACUCCAUCUUAAAAUCGAAUAUGGACAAAAACGUGUCUUAGAAAACUGUG